UUAAUUCUUUGCAUUAUUCAGACACAAAACUCAUUACGGCAUAAAAGCGACGCCGGGGCGCCGAAGCACGUGUUUGCUUCCACAGGUUUGAAGGGUUUGAAGGUCAGAUGACCAUUCAGUAAUGAUCCCUCCGCAGGUUCACCUACGGAGA
rnacentral:misc_RNA from 1 species